GACGAACGCUGGCGGCGUGCUUAACACAUGCAAGUCGAACGGAAAGGCCCUGCUUUUGUUGGGUGCUCGAGUGGCGCACGGGUGAGUAACACGUGAGUAACCUGCCCUUGACUUUGGGGUAACUUCAGGAAACUGGGGCUAUUAUCGGAUAGGAGCUCCUGCUGCAUGGUGGGGGUUGGAAAGAUUCGGCGGUUGUGGAUGGACUCGCGGCUUAUCAGCUUGUUGGGGGGGUAGUGGCUUACCAAGGCUUUGACGGGUAGCCGGCCUGAGAGGGUGACCGGCCACAUUGGGACUGAGAUACGGCCCAGACGCCUACGGGAGGCAGCAGUGGGGAAUAUUGCACAAUGGGCGGAAGCCGGAUGCAGAAACGCCGCGUGCGGGAUGACGGCCUUUGGGUGGUAAACCGCUUUCGCCGGUGAUGAAGCGGGAGUGACGGUAAUGGGUAAAGAAGCACCGGCUAACUACGUG
rnacentral:rRNA from 1 species